rnacentral:lncRNA from 10 species
GGAGGUGGGUGAGGGGUCCCCUCACUGUAGUGAGAGAGUAGUCAAUGCCGCAUGCUCUGGGCACAUGCCGAGGGGCCCAGCCUCUCUCACUCUGAAGCCUGGCACCUUCCAAGACCUUGCAGCUGCAAGUGGUGCAGCGGCUUGCCCAUGGCCCCACCUGCUGUCAGAGCUGUGCUACUGCAGCCACUCCUUUCAUGAAACAAGAGGCCCAGGCAACCCUCACUGCUGGCUGGAGUUCCAUCUUUCCUUGCUUGGAACACCGCACCCUCUGCAGGGCCCCAGUGGCACGGCUCUCACAUGCUGUUCCUCCCAGCUUGCCCUUCUCAGAACGAGACUUUGCAUCUUUACAGGACCCUCGGGCGACUCACUGGCCCGUGGAGGUCUGAGAAACACUAGUCAGGAGGCCUGAGAAGGAAGAACAUGCAUCCAGUUGGAAGCCCAGGGGAGACAUGGAAUGGAGAGAGAAAAUUCCAAGAGACACACAGAGAACCUUCCAAAAUUAGAGAAACCAUCAACAAUUCCCAAACAGGAUAAACAAAUAAUACAAAUAAACUCGACCUGGAACAGUUGAGUGGAUAGAAACAGCACACGUAAGAUCGGGUGUGCACGAGGAGAUGCGAACACCGGGAACAGUCGAGUGGGUAGAAACAGCACACGUAAGAUCGGGUGUGCACGAGGAGAUGCGAACACCGGGAACAGUCGAGUGGGUAGAAACAGCACACGUAAGAUCAGGUGUGCACGAGGAGAUGCGAACACCGGGAACAGUCGAGUGGAUAGAAACAGCACACGUAAGAUCGGGUGUGCACGAGGAGAUGCGAACACCGGGAACAGUCGAGUGGGUAGAAACAGCACACGUAAGAUCGGGUGUGCACGAGGAGAUGUGAACACCGGGAACAGUCGAGUGGGUAGAAACAGCACACGUAAGGUCGGGUGUGCACGAGGAGAUGUGAACACUGGGAACAGUCGCGUGGGUAGAAACAGCACACGUAAGAUCGGGUGUGCACGAGGAGAUGUGAACACCGGGAACAGUCGAGUGGGUAGAAACAGCACACGUAAGAUCGGGUGUGCACGAGGAGAUGCGAACACCGGGAACAGUCGAGUGGGUAGAAACAGCACACGUAAGAUCGGGUGUGCGUGAGGAGAUGCGAACACCGGGAACAGUCGCGUGGGUAGAAACAGCACACGUAAGAUCGGGUGUGCGUGAGGAGAUGCGAACACCAGGAACAGUCGAGUGGGUAGAAACAGCACACGUAAGGUCGGGUGUGCGUGAGGAGAUGCGAACACCCGCAGGUCUCUGUCUCAUUCCACUAGAGGGAGAAGACACUGAGUGUAGACUCUCAACGCACAUGUUAAAGUUUCAAUGACCACUAACAACAAAGAAGUCCGAUAUGUAACCUCUGUGACAGGAAACAAGUGAGGGGAAAAAUUAUUAAUCCAACAGAAGAAAAGGAGUGAAAUAAAAAAGAAACUCUGGAAAAGCAGGACAAUUAGAAAACAAGUGUCAAAAAUUAGUCUAAAUAUGUGGAUGAUUGUGAUCAAAGUAAAAUUAUGAAAUUCCAGUUAAGAAGCAAAGGCUGCC